rnacentral:rRNA from 1 species
CAGCCGCCGCGGUAAUGCGGAGGGUGCAAGCGUUAAUCGGAAUUACUGGGCGUAAAGCGUGCGUAGGCGGUUCGUUAAGUCUGUUGUGAAAGCCCCGGGCUCAACCUGAGAAUGGCAAUGGAUACUGGCGAGCUAGAGUGUGUCAGAGGAUGGUGGAAUUCCCGGUGUAGCGGUGAAAUGCGUAGAGAUCGGGAGGAACAUCAGUGGCGAAGGCGGCCAUCUGGGACAACACUGACGCUGAGGCACGAAAGCGUGGGGAGCAAACAGGAUUAGAGACCCCCGUAGUCCCUGUCUCUUAUAC